rnacentral:rRNA from 1 species
GACGUAGGGCGCGAGCGUUGUCCGGAUUUAUUGGGCGUAAAGAGCUCGUAGGCGGCUUGUCGCGUCGACUGUGAAAUCCCGCGGCUCAACUGCGGGUCUGCAGUCGAUACGGGCAGGCUAGAGUGCGGUAGGGGAGAUCGGAAUUCCUGGUGUAGCGGUGAAAUGCGCAGAUAUCAGGAGGAACACCGGUGGCGAAGGCGGAUCUCUGGGCCGUAACUGACGCUGAGGAGCGAAAGCAUGGGGAGCGAACAGG